rnacentral:lncRNA from 1 species
UAUGACCCUGUGAUUAAUUGAGCGGCUGACCAAUCAUUACCUCCUCCUCCCUGCUCUUUCUACCCAAUAAAUACAAAGGGCUGUGGAAGCUCAAUGGGCUGCCUUUGCUCAUUAGAAGCAGGGAGCUCUCUUCUUCUUCCCCUGGAUCCUUCCUUUAAAAUAGUUUCUUUUGUCUUAAGUUUUCAUUUCUACGUUUGUCCCUUCAUUCAGUCUCUUAAAUGACGGUCUCAAGCAGUAACAGUAGUAAUUGCUGUAAUGACGGUCUCAAGUAGUAACCAGGGCACUCUGCCACAAGUGGCACCUGAACAGGGACUAACAGGGACUAUCAAGAACAAACGGAGACCUGAAGAGACCUGAAGGGAACUGAAGAGGUCUGCAGGGACAAAUAGAGAUAAGUAGGGAUAAAUAGAGAUAAAUAGAGACAAAUAGAGAUAGGUAAGGAAUGACAGGGACUUGCAGGAAGUAACAGGGACCAUAGGGACAGAUAGGGAUAGAUAAAGACUAGCAAAGACUAGCCGAGAUUAGCAAAGACCAGCAAGGACUAGCAGAGACUAGCAAAGACUAGCAGAAACUUGCAGGGACAGGCAGAGACAGAUAGGGACAGAUAGGGUCCUACAGGGACUUGAACGAGGAAGAUCUGCUGGAAAAGAAAAGAACUACAACCAACCAGAUGAACAAGAAACCCUGUUACAAGUCUGCUGGCAGCAACAUAAGGAAAUGAACAAAAAGUGUGGGUGCCCCCAAGGUGUGUACUACCAUGGAAUGGGAGAUUGGAGGGACACAUGGAUCCCAACCGUGGGCCUGGUUCCCCCAGUAUGAGCUGAAUACGAAGACAGAACAAACCACCAACCGGCAAUUGAAGGAUGAUGCCCAUUCUAUUUCCUAGGAAGGGAUAAGUUUUAAGGCCUUAUAAAAAGUGACACAAAGUGAACCGGGUUCUAUAAAUUACCAUGGAAAGUGGUGAGCCAACGAUUUGGCAGAACAAAACCCUGAGGAUAUGCAAACAAAAGGGACUAUGGAAUUUGCAAUUGCAGAUUAAAAUUGAAGAAGAAAACAUUUGAGUUGCAAAUACCGUAUUAAAAGUGGACACUGCUUAUGACUGCUGUAUGCAACAGUUUUUCAGGCCCGAGGUGAUAAAUAAAAAAUUGUUUGCUCUAUUUAACCAUUGAAUGCUUGGACUACUUUUGUAUCCUUAAGAUGUGAAGUGUUCUUCACUAGAAGUAAACAUUAAGGUCAUUUACCAUUGAUUGCUUAAGGCUAGUAAAUACGUUUAAGGAGUUUUAAAGCUUUACUUUGGGAGAAGUCAGGACCAGACAGCUUAAUAAAGCCACUCUGUGUGGGACCAUGACUAAGUUUUGUUGUGUUUACAGACAUUUUGUCACAGAAUCAAAGUUAACUUUUUUUUUUAAUUCUCUUUGCCACAGAGGAACCCAGACAUGCUCUAUUUGCAAACCGACUGCAUGAAACAAAAAGCACGGUAAUUCUGAAGCUGUUGGCUUGGAUGAAAUGAGAAUGUAAUUAAAAAGAAAAAGGUUAGCAAAAGAACAUGCUGGGAAUUGAAAAUAAAAAUCUGAAAUGAUGUCCCAGCCUGCCCUUAAGGUCUUUUCCACCAUGUAGAGAGCUACCUCAAAUGCUCUACUUGUCCCAGAGUCUAUGUUCUUUCACUACUAUUGCCUAUAUCUGUGUUUUCUGCUUUCAAUAAUCUAUUGAAAUAAUCAAAAUUAAUUACAUUCAGCAUUUUUUCUGUAUUACUCUGAUUCUAAUAAUUACCUCAAAUUUAUUUGUGCAUUUCUAUACUAGAAAGAAAAAAUAAUUUUUAGAGUUUUACUAUAUCUUCCCCUUAAUUCUAAGUUGCUUGUCACUAAUUCCUUUCCCAACACUAUGUUAUUUCCACCAAGAACAUUACCAAUAUCUUCAGGAAAAUUCCACCCCAUAUUUUAAGCCAGAUUGAUUAUUGGGAAUAUAAAUACAUUUAAGAAGGAAAGUCUUUUUGACUGUGUUUCUCCACAGACCAAUAGUAUACAAAACACAGAAGGCUUUUAAGCACAUUUCAUAGGGAUCACUGACUUAGAACAGAAGGAACCAUUUCGUGAAACACUCUCAUUUUGCACAUAAAGGAGCUGUGGCCCACAGAGGAAUAUGAUUUACUGAGAGUGACCCAGUUAGUGGCCAUAAACCAAAAGCCCCAAGAUGCUAAAUGUUUGUUAUGAAGAGUAAAAAUCCUCCCAGUUUAUAAGAAGUAACUUCAUCCUUCCAUUUUCUAUUUCCACGAUGACUCCCCUGGCUUAAAUUUUAAUCUCUAUUUUGGAUGACUCCAAAAUCUCAUUCUUCUAAAUUAAUUAUCUAAUACCACAAUGUUGCACUUAUCUUCCUACAAAUCUACUUUCAUCUGCCUUGACAAAGCCAACCCUAAUUUUCUCUAGUCCUCAUUAGAAAUUAUUGCAACAAAAAUUCACAUCCAGUCUGAAGUUUGGGAGCCAGAAAAGAAUUUUCCCAUUAAGAUGAGACAGUAUCAAUUAUUAAGCAGAGGAAGACACAAGAGGGAAAGCAGCUUUCACAUGAAAAAAAAAGAACUCUGAUUUUCUGACACAUUUUGUCAUUGCAGUCAAACUUUCAGAGUUAGAACUAGAGACCUAGAUAUUAGCUAACCCAGCAUUUUCCAAGUAUUCCUCGGAACUCUAGAGGCACAGCAUAGUACUGGUAAUGAUUUUGUGGCAGGAUAGAUUAAGGAAACCUCACAGUUAUACCAAGUUAAAUUCAUUUAUUUCAUGUAAAAUUCUGAUAGCCUUUUAUGCUACUAGGCCUAGUGAUACUCCAAAAUUAUUGGCCAUAUAUCUGAAAUUUAUUUCAGCAAGAAACCCUUUAAAGAGCAUCCCGCAGAGUUAGUGUUUUGAGGGAUAUCAUUGGGGAAAAUGCUGAUCUAGACCAAUUCAACAAAUUGUAACUUAGUUAACACCAGAGUCAAAACAAAAACCAAGUCUACUCAUGUCUGUCUUAGGCCCUUUUGGUCACAAAAACACGUUCAAACCACUUCAAUUAAGAAAAUGGUGAGAGGGGAAAAGACAAGCAGGGAACCUUAUCCCAGGUGGGCUGAUCACAGGACUUCCAAGGCUGUCCCUUAGAAGAGUCACGAUAAUGGCAUCUCUAGCACAAAACUCAAAUUUAGUUUUAAUUCUUAGUCGAAUAAUAAUACAGUAAAAUUUAUUGCAUGCAUAAGGAUAAUACAUUAAAACUACUUAAAUUACAUUUUAGGGCCGGGCGCGGUGGCUCACGCCUGUAAUCCCAGCACUUUGGGAGGCCGAGGCGGGUGGAUCACGAGGUCAGGA